GGGGAUAUAGUUAAAUUUUAUAAUAUUUAUUUUGCUAAUAAAAGUUAUUUUUAGAUUAUUAUCCUUA
rnacentral:tRNA from 1 species